GACGAACGCUGGCGGCGUGCCUAAUACAUGCAAGUCGAACGCUUCUUUCCUCCCGAGUGCUUGCACUCAAUUGGAAAGAGGAGUGGCGGACGGGUGAGUAACACGUGGGUAACCUACCCAUCAGAGGGGGAUAACACUUGGAAACAGGUGCUAAUACCGCAUAACAGUUUAUGCCGCAUGGCAUAAGAGUGAAAGGCGCUUUCGGGUGUCGCUGAUGGAUGGUCCCGCGGUGCAUUAGCUAGUUGGUGAGGUAACGGCUCACCAAGGCCACGAUGCAUAGCCGACCUGAGAGGGUGAUCGGCCACACUGGGACUGAGACACGGCCCAGACUCCUACGGGAGGCAGCAGUAGGGAAUCUUCGGCAAUGGACGAAAGUCUGACCGAGCAACGCCGCGUGAGUGAAGAAGGUUUUCGGAUCGUAAAACUCUGUUGUUAGAGAAGAACAAGGACGUUAGUAACUGAACGUCCCCUGACGGUAUCUAACCAGAAAGCCACGGCUAACUACGUG
rnacentral:rRNA from 1 species